CUCCUGGUGGGCCGCUGCAGUGCAUUGUAGUUGCAUUGCAUGUCCUGACAGUACCAUGCAAUGUUUCCACAGUGCAUCACAGAGG
ensembl:miRNA